CCGGCACCGAACUACAUUUCCCAGCGCCGCCCGGGGCGGCGGUUGCCAAGGCGCCCUGGCAACGGCGCCUGAAAUGGCGGCGGGGAAGGGACCGUAACGGUGUCGGCCUCCAUCUCUCAGCCUCGGGCCGGGGUCAUAGUGCCGACCCCCCGUGAAGAAGAAUGUCCUUGUUUAAAGCUCGAGACUGGUGGUCCACAACACUUGGAGAAAAGGAAGAAUUUGAUCAAGGCUGUCUGUGUGUUGCUGAUGUUGAUAACAGUGGCCAAGAUAAAAUUAUUGUGGGCAGUUAUAUGGGAUAUCUCCGAAUCUUUCAUCCACAUCCUGUGAAACCUGGGGAUGACGUGCAGGCUGAAGACCUGCUCUUGGAAGUGCAGUUACAAGAACCAAUACUGCAGGUGGAAGUUGGAAAAUUUGUUUCUGGUACUGAAGGACUUCAUCUGGCUGUGUUGCAUUGCCGAAAACUCUGUGUAUAUUCUGUUUCAGGAACUCAAGGGAAUGUGGAACAUGGGAACCAGUAUCAGAUGAAACUGAUGUAUGAACAUAAUCUUCAGAGAACUGCUUGCAAUAUGACGUAUGGACCAUUUGGUGGUGUAAAAGGUCGAGAUUUGAUAUGCAUACAGUCCAUGGAUGGGAUGUUAAUGUUAUUUGAACAGGAAAGCUAUGCUUUUGGACGUUUUUUACCUGGUUUUCUUCUGCCUGGUCCAUUGACUUACAGCUCUCGGACAGAUUCUUUCAUUACGGUGUCUUCCUGUCGACAGGUUGAGAGUUACAAAUAUCAUGUGCUGGUAUUUGCAACAGAUGCUGAGGCAAGACAAGAAACAGUACAGCAAAAACUUAGUUCUGGAAAAAGACUUGUGGUGGAUUGGGUUCUAAACAUUGGAGAGCAAGCACUGGAUAUAUGCAUUGUCUCCUUUAAUCAGGCAGUUUCCUCUGUUUUUGUGCUUGGUGAGAGAAACCUCUUCUGCCUUAAGGAUAAUGGACAACUUCGAUUCAUGAAAAAGCUUGAUUACAGUCCAAGUUGCUUCAUUCCUUAUUGUUCAGUGAAAGAAGGAACAAUAAACACUCUAGUUGGAAACCAUAGUAAUGUGUUGAAUAUUUAUCAGGAUGUUACACUGAAAUGGGCUGCUCAGCUUCCCCAUGUUCCUGUAUCAGUAAAAGUAGCAAACAUACAGAAUCUGAAGGGUGUUAUAGUUACUCUGAGUGAAAAUGGACACCUGCAGUGUUCCUACCUUGGAACUGAUCCUUCAUUCUUCCAGGCUCCUAGAGUUGAUUCUAAGGAAGUAAACUAUGAAGAAUUCAAUGCUGAAAUGAAAGAGCUUCAGAAAAUCAUCAGGGAAGCUAUGAAAACACAAGAUAUUUUACCCCAAUCUGAAAAACUGAGAGAUCUAAUUGUCACUGCAGAAGUUUCACCAGAGUUGGAUGCAGAAUCUAAAGCCAUUGACAGUGAGGUAAAAGCAGAGGUAGUACCAUCAGUAACAGUAAAGGUAACAGUACAAAGCAGGGUGACUGCACAGAAACCAAACCUGUCAGUAUGUGUACAAGCUCCAUUAGCAGUGACCUGUGACCAGUUCAUCUUUAAUGAUUUAGAACCAGAUUCAUCUGAAACCGUGGUCCUGUCUGUCUUUUUGAAGGGGAAUUGUCCUCCAUCAGAACUAGAAGGAAAUUGUGUGGUUUCAUGUAGUACACAAACAGAACUCAAUCCUGAAGGAAUACCAAAAGUUGCCCAGUGUAAAUUCAAGCUGCCUUUGCGAUUAAUCUGUUCUCCAGCUCAACCUUCAAAAUCAGCAAAUCACAAGAUAACUAUUGAUACCAAUAAACCUCCCAUCAGUUUUCUCACCAUUUUUCCAGACUUUGCUGAUCCAUCUGAGGAUGACCAGGCAAAUGUUCUGGGUUUUCAGUUCCUAACGGGUUCAAAAAUCACUCUUCUUGCUUCAAAAACAUCACAACGAUAUAGGAUCCAGAGUGAUCAGUUAGAAGACCUUUGGCUAAUAACAAAAGAGCUCACUCUUCGACUGGAAGAACAUUUCAAAAAGCAAAAUUGCAAAGACUUUGCGUGUACCUUUUCAGGUUCAAUUCCCCUGCAAGAAUACUUUGAACUAAUUGAUCGACAUUUUGAGCUGCGCUUGAAUGCAGAAAAAUUUCGUGAGCUGUUAUCUGAGAGGGCUGUACAAUUUAGAGCUAUCGAGAGACGAUUGCUGACACGAUUCAAAGACAAAACUCCUGCUCCUCUUCAACAUCUGGAUACCUUGCUAGAAGGAACAUUCAGAGAGGUAAUAGCUCUAGCAGAUGCAGCAGAAGAAAAUCAAGCCAACAUGUUCCAGGCAUUCACAAAGUUGAAAAGUGCCACCCAUCUGGUGAUUAUGCUGAUCAGUCUGUGGCAGAAACUCAACGCUGAACAAAUUGCUAUUAUGGAAGCCUCAUUUUUGCCAUUAGCAGAAGAUACACAAGAGCUGGGUUGGGAAGAAACUGUGGAUUCUGCCAUUUCUUCCUUACUAAGAACUUGCUUGUCAAAGAGCUCUAAGGAACAGGCACUGACUCUUGGUGGCCAGUUGAGCAUGCCCAAAGAUACCAGCAGACUUAAGAAGAAUAUCAGCCUGUUCUGUGAUAGACUGGCCAAAGGUGGUCGCCUUUCCUUAAGUACAGAGUCAGCCACUCAGCAAUUUUCUGUUGUGCCAGGUGGCUGUUCUACAAUCCCAGAGUCUGACUUGGAGGAAAGAGUAGUUGUACCGGGCUCCAUGGCAACAUUUACCAAUCACAAGCAUGCCACAAAGCAGAAAUCCAAGCCUGAAAAGCCUCCUGGCCAUAAAGUAUAAGGAUCUCUUACUUUGCAAGUCAAGGACCUGCUUUUGAAAGAUGAUUUCUAAUUUUGUUUGUCUGAGGAUGCAGCAGAGGAAGCAGAAAAGCCAUGAAACAUGAAGACGACCUAAGGAGGAAUUUCUAUCUGUUAUCAAAUGUAUUUAUAAGGCAGCAGUACCAAUCCUUUUUAUUCUGUCCUGAUUGCAGCCUCCAGAAGAAGAGGACUGUGCUAACUUAUAUGAAAAAGUUCCAUUCUAAUCAUUUUGGUUGGGUCUUCCUGCCAACUGCUAGCAUCCAAUCUGUGACCAAAGCUUAUGCACUUACCCAAUUGUGAUAGGGAUGUUGUGUUAUGUUUUGUGGUACAUCAGCCCUUCUAAGGAUUCUGUUGGUUGAUCAAAGACUGUUUACAGAUAGUUAAAAGCAACCUUUGUUUCAGGAUAUAUUUUAUCUGUUUUUUAAGAUAUUCUGAACUAUACAUUUGUUAUAUCACAGCUUUGACAAAAGAUAACUAUCUCCUUUCCUCCCAUACUAACAUUCACAAUUCCAGACAGCUGAAUUCACCACAAGAAGAAAAACUGGUAAUCCAUCAACUACCCACCCUCCCCACCCCGCGCCCCGUCUCUCAUUGCUUAUAUAGACUCCUGCUCUCAAGAGAUACAGAGUAAAAUAUGGUUACUGGACAUAAAGGGUAAACCCUUUUGCCAUUAACUAUGUCACUAUGAACUUGAAUAAAGUUUACACUGUAAGUACCCUAAGCACAGCAACAGAUGGAUCUUUUUAUGGUUACCUGUAAUUUCUGUUUUUCCUGUCAGUCAGCCUGUUCUAGUUAUGGGUAAGAUUUUCAAAAGUAAUUUUUGAGUGCCUUAAUUUUUAUGAAUUCAGCUGGAGGGGGCUUAGAUAGUUCAGUUUUUAAAAAGUGCUGAAUAUUUACAGUCUGAAAGUGAAGUCUACCCAAGGUGCCUGCAAUGAGACAACAACUGAGACAAUCGAAACACCUUGUCAAACCAUGACCUAGGGUUUGGAAGUGUCAAGAUUAUAUCUGAGUUCUUAAGAGUGAUCUGAGUGUAGUAUCAGCAAAAGAUAUUUGAAACUGAAGAUAACUGAUACAUGGGUCAAGAGCAAAGACAGCUGAACAAGAUCUCUCUUGGUUGUUGGUGGUUCAUAAAAAAUCAGAAGCAAAUUUUAAAAAUUUUUUUUGAUUGCAAAUACAGAAAAUAUAGUGCACCCCAGCAUAAUUUCUCAGAGAUGCAAUUGGAUGAACUAUCUGCACAUCCCACUUUCAGCUUGGUUUCACCAACUCCUGUUCUAGCCAUAGUAAAGGUCCCUCCAACUCACAUUUGUGCUCUUUUGGCAGGGUUGUUGACAGUUUCUGUGGUCUGUGCCAGACUUGAUCUGUGGAUAAAAAGGAGACAUUUUUCAGGAUCUCUUAAGCCAACAACUUUCAUCAACUCCAUGUUUGCUUUCAAACUCUUUGUAUCCACCCCAAAAACUAAACCAGUUUGCACCAGUUGUGCAUCUGCGGCUUAGCCCUUUGAUCCUGCUCUGGCUGAGUAAACUCGAUAUAAUCAUGUUUCAUGGAGCCCUUUUCAACAUUAAAUGGAGCCAAGUGGCCAGGGAACUGGGUAUGGCUUCUGAUACCUCUAGGACUCAAGUGAGCAGGGGCUGCCGAUAAAAAUGACUCUGUCCCCCAGGAGAGCUCAUAUAUCUGUAAGGUGUGGUGCACAAAAUCUUGCCUCUUUCCCAUGAAGGAAAAUUCCUACCCCCUGCUUGUUAUGGAGGAAUUCUGCUGGCUGAGUUUUCUUCACUCUGAUCCCUCCCCCAUGGUUUUUGUCAGGAGGGCAGUAUCCAAACCAUUGUAAAUGUAUCCUGCUGUGUUGCAAAAAUUACACAAUAAAAUAAUCUCCUGUAGUUUCUGUACACACCUCAAUGACCAAGGAAAAUCCAUGGAGAACUAAUCAAUUACUGUAGCUAUUAGGCUUAAACUUUAACUAUAGAUCUCAAAUCUUCUUUUGUUCUCUUGUCAGUGGCUACUAGGUAAUCUAGAAAAAUCCACUGCUGUCUACUUUUUUUUUUUUUUUUUUUUUCCCCAUGCCAUAGAAGUGCCAUUAUGUUGUAGAAUCCUGGACCAAAGGAUCCUAAGCUAUAUGCGUAUAGUAUUAACUGGAGAACACACAACUGUGAGACUUUUGUGAAAUAUAUUACUCUGUCAUAAUUAUUAUUAUUGAAUAUGAUCCCAAUGCUCAGAGCUGCCUGGCUUCAUUUGGAGCUUACAGUAAACAAAUAGGCACUCAGGUCAAUUAUUUCAUAUGCUUAUAUUUAUUUUUUAUCAUUUUAAUAUGAGGCUCAGAAGCACUCUUAUUUGUCUUUUCUGCUCCAUGCUUUGUAAAAUGAAGUCUCAUGAGACUCCUUCUACAGAAAAGGAAAAACAUGGUAAUAAAACA